AUUGGAUAUGGGGAACAUGUAUACCUUCUGGAGGCGGGUGAAUAAUCAACAAAAAGUGGCAAAGCAAAGUUACAUUAAGAUGUUGUACAAUCUCAUGUUCAAGAAUUUGAUUAUACCUGUUCCAAGUUAUGAACCUCAGCAACCAGUGACUAAGAAGAAAAGUGUCAGAAAACAAAGCACAAGCAAGCGUUAACACUCUGGUUUGCACGCAAACUCUUGCUUCUUUUCAGUUGAUUAAGAGAUCACUAAUCUAAAGCCUCAAUCACAGAUCAGUACGCAAGCCAAUCUUGUGAUCUCUCUCUAUACAAUUUACUUCAAAUUAAUCAAAUUCUGUACUGCUACGAAUUGACAGCUAUUUUCCUGUUACUGAUAAAAAUUGUGAGGAAAUUUCUGUAUGAAAAUAGAGAAAUUGAAGAAUUCUCAUCCCUACCAUUUCGAUUUAAUCCAAUAAAGUCAUUCCAAAGCAAAAUUUUACACUUUGCAGGACUAUUUUCGUAUCU